rnacentral:rRNA from 1 species
AUGGAAUUGAAAUUUGAGGAGGUUGCUGCCCUAGACAAAGAUAACGUUAAUGGUGAAGAUGGAUCAAUUACAGUAAGAAGUGCGUAUCCACUGGGUCCUUGCCCUCACUUUGAAUAUACUGAGGGAAUCGAUAUGACAAAGAUCGAUGAGCUUAUGGCAGAAAGGUCUCUUUCCAUGGCCAAGUCCAGAGCAAAUGACAUAAUCAUCCCAGACCCUACUCCUGAGUGGGUGUGUGAUGACUUCUUCGACAAGUAUGCCAAAUUGGAGGCCAUCUUUUUAAAAGAUAAUGUCCGGUGCUUCCUCCGAUUAUUCAGGAACGGUGGGGCCAAGGCCAUGUCAUGGGAUCUUUCCAUCACAGCAGAAACCUUAACCUUCUUGGUCAGUUUCAAUGCCCUGCAAUGUGCACAACUUGUGUUGGAGGGCGAGGCACCUGAGCUCCGUGAGAUGCAUGCCAAUCCCAACUGCAUAAACAAAUAUGGAUACUUCCCGCUCCACCAAGCUGCUGAAAGGUUCUCUGUUGACAUGAUCAAGCUGCUUUUACGUCAUGGUGCAUCAGCCAAUGUACGCACAGUUGGCAAGGAAAUUAUUGAGGAUCUACUCCCGCUGCAUGUCGCAGUAGAGAAUACUUGCCUGCAUAAGUAUCUGGAGGACAAUCUGGAGGACAAUCUUUCUCCCAGCCUGAAUCAUCUGGAUUAUAUCUACAAUCUUAUCCGUCUGCUGUGUCUACCUGAAAUGAAGAUCUUCUUGGAUACAACUAGACUGCUUGCAGAAAAAACAAAUAAUCUACUUGAAGAGCUCUGGAAGUACAUUGAGGAUGGAAAACUUAUCCAGUCUGCAGUUCUACUACUGGCUACUCAAGAGCAGAUACGUGGAGGUUGUUCCUCCAGUAGUAAGAAAGAUGGGUUUGACAUUAUUAAGAGCAGUAUACUGAGGCUUUCAUUUGCCUUGAUAUGGGGGAAAGGUUCAAAUGAAAUGCCACAGAAGCUUCUGGAGGAAAUGAAGGCACUUCAUUGCACAGGGCUGCUUGUUGAUGUAAUUUCCCGUGUCGGUGAACCUCUUUCUGCAUACAUUCAAGCACAUUCAGAGGUGCCCCAUGCUGAGGUCUUGGAACAUGUUUCAUCUAUCCUGAAGGAGUAUGGAUUUUGCCCUACUGGAGAUUCCAUGGACACUUUAAACCUCCAGCCUUAUGACUGCAAAAUGUCGAACGGAGAGUCAUGUGGGUCUACAGAUGCAAACAGGGCAGCUAUGAAAACAGCCAAUCUGCAUGCUGCAAAGGAAAAGGCUGCGAGAAAGGAAGCAGGUGGAGGAUGGGAUCCCACAUAUGCAAGGAGAAGUUUUUCCCCAUAUUGGAGAUCAGUGUUACAAGCCCGGUUUCCUGUGAAGGUGUAUCCAGCCUAUGCAAGAACAGAUGCUAGGUCUGGGCUUGAUCUUGAACAACUCCGUGUCUCUCUGAGAAGCUUAAAGGGCAAUGGAUCUACUCCAACUCCAAAUAUAGUCCUUCCGGUGCGAAGGAUCUCACCACUUACAAAAAAUAAUCAACCCACAAGGCGCUUUAUCACUACUGCUACUGGUGCAUUCAAGCUCUUGAAGGCGCUAAAGUAG